GAUAAACGCUGGCGGCGUGCCUAAUACAUGCAAGUCGAGCGAACAGACGAGGAGCUUGCUCCUCUGACGUUAGCGGCGGACGGGUGAGUAACACGUGGAUAACCUACCUAUAAGACUGGGAUAACUUCGGGAAACCGGAGCUAAUACCGGAUAAUAUAUUGAACCGCAUGGUUCAAUAGUGAAAGACGGUUUUGCUGUCACUUAUAGAUGGAUCCGCGCCGCAUUAGCUAGUUGGUAAGGUAACGGCUUACCAAGGCGACGAUGCGUAGCCGACCUGAGAGGGUGAUCGGCCACACUGGAACUGAGACACGGUCCAGACUCCUACGGGAGGCAGCAGUAGGGAAUCUUCCGCAAAGGGCGAAAGCCUGACGGAGCAACGCCGCGUGAGUGAUGAAGGUCUUCGGAUCGUAAAACUCUGUUAUUAGGGAAGAACAAAUGUGUAAGUAACUAUGCACGUCUUGACGGUACCUAAUCAGAAAGCCACGGCUAACUACGUG
rnacentral:rRNA from 1 species